UACGUAGGUGGCAAGCGUUAUCCGGAUUUAUUGGGCGUAAAGGGAACGCAGGCGGUCUUUUAGGUCUGAUGUGAAAGCCUUCGGCUUAACCGGAGUAGUGCAUUGGAGACUGGGAGACUUGAGUGCAGAAGAGGAGAGUGGAACUCCAUGUGUAGCGGUGAAAUGCGUAGAUAUAUGGAAGAACACCAGUGGCGAAAGCGGCUCUCUGGUCUGUAACUGACGCUGAGGUUCGAAAGCGUGGGUAGCAAACAGG
rnacentral:rRNA from 1 species